rnacentral:rRNA from 1 species
CCUACGGGUGGCAGCAGUGGGGAAUAUUGCACAAUGGGCGCAAGCCUGAUGCAGCCAUGCCGCGUGUGUGAAGAAGGCCUUCGGGUUGUAAAGCACUUUCAGCGGGGAGGAAGGCGGUGAGGUUAAUAACCUCAUCGAUUGACGUUACCCGCAGAAGAAGCACCGGUUAACUCCGUGCCAGCAGCCGCGGUAAUACGGAGGGUGCAAGCGUUAAUCGGAAUUACUGGGCGUAAAGCGCACGCAGGCGGUCUGUCAAGUCGGAUGUGAAAUCCCCGGGCUCAACCUGGGAACUGCAUUCGAAACUGGCAGGCUAGAGUCUUGUAGAGGGGGGUAGAAUUCCAGGUGGAGCGGUGAAAUGCGUAGAGAUCUGGAGGAAUACCGGUGGCGAAGGCGGCCCCCUGGACAAAGACUGACGCUCAGGUGCGAAAGCGUGGGGAGCAAACAGGAUUAGAUACCCCGGUAGUC